AUUGAACGCUGGCGGCAGGCCUAACACAUGCAAGUCGAGCGAGCGGCGGACGGGUGAGUAAUGUAUGGGGACUGCCCGAUAGAGGGGGAUAACUACUGGAAACGGUGGCUAAUACCGCAUACUAUCGGAUAACCCAUAUGGGAUUAGCUAGUAGGUGGGGUAAAGGCUCACCUAGGCGACGAUCUCUAGCUGGUCUGAGAGGAUGAUCAGGCAAACUGGGACUGAGAAACGGCCCCGACUCCUACGGAGGCAGGAGGGGGGAAUAUUGGCCAAUGGGCGCAAGCCUGAUGCAGCCAUGCCGGGGGUAUGAAGAAGGCCUUAGGGUUGGAAAGUACUUUUAGCGGGGAGGCGUUACCCGGAGAAGAAGCACCGGCUAACUCCGUGCCAGCAGCCGCGGUAAUAC
rnacentral:rRNA from 1 species